CCCACAUGAUUAUAUUAGUCACUGCUGCACUGAAUCUUGCAUCCACACUCUUUCUUUUCCAUCAGAUUUGACAGCCUUUGCAAUUGAAAAUCGGUAUUUCUCAUUAAUGUGUCUUCCACACAUUGAUUUCAAGUGAAUGUAAACAUUAUGGUUUGGUUAUUCAAUUUCUAUUUCAAUUUGAUCUACGUAAGGGCGUUUGUUUGGACUUGUAUGAAUAUAUUUAGUUUUCU
rnacentral:lncRNA from 1 species